CCUACGGGAGGCGGCAGUGGGGAAUAUUGCGCAAUGGGGGGAACCCUGACGCAGCAACGCCGCGUGAGUGAAGAAGGCCUUCGGGUUAUAAAGCUCUUUAAUCAGGGACGAAGAAUGACGGUACCUGAAGCAUAAGCUCCGGCUAACUACGUGCCAGCAGCCGCGGUCAUACGUAGGGAGCAAGCGUUAUCCGGAUUUACUGGGUGUACAGGGCGUGUAGGCGGGCCUGCAAGUCAGAAGUGAAAUCUGGGGGCUUAACCCCCAAACUGCUUUUGAAACUGUGGGUCUUGAGUGAUGGAGAGGCAGGCGGAAUUCCCAGUGUAGCGGUGAAAUGCGUAGAUAUUGGGAGGAACACCAGUGGCGAAGGCGGCCUGCUGGACAUUAACUGACGCUGAGGCGCGAAAGCGUGGGGAGCAAACAGGAUUAGAUACCCGGGUAGUC
rnacentral:rRNA from 1 species